GACGAACGCUGGCGGCGUGCUUAACACAUGCAAGUCGAACGGAAAGGCCCUGCUUUUGUGGGGUGCUCGAGUGGCGAACGGGUGAGUAACACGUGAGUAACCUGCCCUUGACUUUGGGAUAACUUCAGGAAACUGGGGCUAAUACCGGAUAGGAGCUCCUGCUGCAUGGUGGGGGUUGGAAGUUUCGGCGGUUGGGGAUGGACUCGCGGCUUAUCAGCUUGUUGGUGGGGUAGUGGCUUACCAAGGCUUUGCCGGGUAGCCGGCCUGAGAGGGUGACCGGACACAUUGGGACUGAGAUACGGCCCAGACUCAUACGGGAGGCAGCAGUGGGGAAUAUUGCAAAAUGGGCGGAAGCCUGAUGCAGCAACGCCGCGUGCGGGAUGACGGCCUUCGGGGUGUAAACCGCCUUCGCCUGUGACGAAGCGUGAGUGACGGUAAUGGGUAAAGAAGCACCGGCUAACUACGUG
rnacentral:rRNA from 1 species